rnacentral:rRNA from 1 species
CUUGCUCCCCCAUAAGAGGUCCAGCCUGCCCAGUGACUUAGUUCAACGGCCGCGGUACCCUAACCGUGCGAAGGUAGCGUAAUCACUUGUCUUCCAAAUAGAGACUAGUAUGAAAGGCAUCACGAGAAUUUAACUGUCUCCUUUUUCCAAUCAGUGAAACUAAUCUUCCCGUGAAGAAGCGGGAAUCCAAAAAUAAGACGAGAAGACCCUAUGGAGCUUUAAACACUAACCACCUGCCCGACCCUAUAAAACCCCGGUUCCUAAACCAACGCACCAUGACUACGUGUUUUUGAUUGGGGCGACCACGGAAAAUAAUCAAACCUCCGUAAUGAAAACCUACAAGCCACAGCUUUAAGUAUCAACAAAUUGACAUCCAUUGACCCAAUAUAUUGACUAAUGAAC